CUCACGAUGAGGAAGGAGACAGCAACGCGGUCGGUCAUAAGCAGGAGAGGGAGAAGAAAAGAGAGAGGAUCGUCGACGGUAGCUCGGUGGAGAAGGAGGAGGAAGGUCAGCCAGGAUGGUGGUGAUCGGCUUCGGAUCCACGAGUGGCAGUCCAUGGCGCGGGCAGCCGGCGCACAGUCAGUCACCAAUUCUACCAGUCGGUUGUAGCCAGUUGGUACCAGAAGAGCAGCUCCGUACGCGGGGCCGCGUAGUGCGCCUCUCGCGCUUCGGUUCGUUUAGAAACAGAUUUGAUUCGUUUUCACCCGCCCGUUGGAAAUCCCGAUAGCAGCACUCUGGCUUUCGUUCCGCGACGAAAUACACGAGAUCGUACACAUUCGACUCGAGGGAUCCUCGGAGUGGCUGGUAGCGCGCGAACUUAACGAUAAGUGCGCGGAGUGCCUCAGUAUCGAGUGCCUGAAUGAAGACACUUAUCUGGUAUAUAAGUGAUAAAGUGUCGGCUACGCGUGGGUUCGAAGAGGUGCUCGAGCGUCCUCCUUGGAUGUGAAGCGAUAUUUCAGAGGAAGUUGCAGAAACCUGACUACGGAUGGUUAACGACGUAAUGAGCGAGUACGAACGGAUCAAGCGUUCGUGCUUGAAACGAGGUGAGCUCUGGGAGGAUCCAGAAUUUCCAGCGACACAAGCGUCAGUCUUUUAUCACCAGACACCGCCGUUCCAGUUUCAAUGGAAAAGGCCGAAGGAAUUAUGCAAUCGUCCGAUUUUCGUCAGCGAUGCGCCGGCUCAAUUCGACGUAAUUCCAGGGAAAAUGGGUGACAAGUGGCUGGUAUCAUGCCUGGGCGUGCUGCAUCUUAGCAAAGGUCUAUUCUACAGGGUGGUACCAGCAGAUCAGGGUUUCGGAAGCAGUGGAGAACCCUCGGGCUCGCCAACUGCUGAAUACGCUGGAGUGUUCAGGUUUCGACUGUGGUGGUGUGGCGCAUGGGUAGAAGUUCUCGUCGACGACAGAUUACCAGCAGUUCACGGAAGAUUGGCCUUCGUCCAGAGUCGCCAUAGUGAUCAAUUCUGGCCGGCGCUGCUGGAGAAAGCGUACGCCAAACUGCACGGUUCUUACGAGGCACUAAAGUACGGUACAUUAUUGGAUGGCUUGUCUGAUCUCACGGGUGGCAUAACCGAAAGUAUCGCGAUUCGCCAGGACCCCACAGCCUGCGGACGAGCGCUAUCUAAACUUUUAGAUAUGACGUCUCUUAUUACUUGUACAGUAAAUAAUAAUACACAGCAACAGAUACGUGCCAGCACAGAAAAACUCGCCAAUGGCGUACAAAUGGGAAUCAAUUACAGAUUGUAUGCGAUUGAGAGGGUAGAAACUUUUGGAGGGGAAGCAGUGCAAUUAGUAAAAUUAAGAAAUCCUCUUGGGCCCGGGGGAGAAUAUGUGGGUGCUUGGGCGAGAGGCGGCCUUGAAUGGGACGAAGUUCCCGUAAUGGAAAGGGAUCGGUUAGCUGUAAGAAAUAUGGCUGAAGGAGAAUUUUGGAUAUCAUACUCUGAUUUCGUUAAAACGUUCACUCACCUGGAAGUUGUGCAUCUGGAUGCUGAAACUUCGAGAGAUGAACCGUCGUUGCACAGUAAGCAUACUUGGCAAAUGAAAUUGUAUCAAGGAAGCUGGAGAAGAGGUGUCACUGCAGGAGGAUGUCGAAAUAAUCAAGAAACUUUCCACAUAAAUCCACAGCUGCAUCUUAUUUUGAGCGAGAUGGAAGAAGUAAUCGUUUCGUUAAACCAGCAUUCUAUAAUGGAACCGAAAGUGAUUGGUUUCACGGCGUACACACUACCGAAGAACAGCACUGAAUCGAUAAACAAGCAAUUUUUUAAAAAGAACAAGUCUUUAGUUAAUUCCCAAUAUACAAAUAGUCGGCAGGUGAGCCACAGGUGCCAGCUCGAGCAGGGUGGUUACCUGCUGGUACCUACGACCUUCGAGCCGACUCAAGAAACAAGUUUCACGUUACGAGUCUACAGCAGUAAGCCUCUAAAACUCAAAUUGUUAGACACUCCGCCAUCGUUAAUGAAAUCAGCAAUUGUCAAGGCACCUCCUCUUGAAGGAAAAGGUUUCUCUCAGUAUGAAGCUGUGUUUCUACAGCUCGCCGACGAGCAUAGAACCGUAAAUGCCUUCGAGUUGCAGGAGCUUUUAGAAGCCUGUUUACCGAAUGAUUAUAUUAAAAGUUGUGCCUGCAUGGAAGUCUGCCGACAAGUAGUACUUACUAUGGAUAGCUCCGGAAGUGGCCGGCUAAAGUUCAACGACUUUAAAGAUCUUAUGUGCAGUUUAAAGUACUGGCAAGCUGCUUUUAAGAACCAUACGAAAGAAAAGACAGGUAUACUCAAAGCGGAGAGAUUGCGCGAUGCUCUACUGGAAGUUGGUUUUCAAUUAAAUACGGACGUAUUAUCCAUUUUGAUUCUUCGAUAUAUGAGGAAAGAUGGAACUCUUAGAUUCGGUGAUUUUGUUUCAGCGAUAUUACAUUUAAGCGACGCAUUUGGAAUAUUCGAAAGUAAGGAUCCUUUGCAAAAUGGAACGAUAAAAUUAAGUUUAUCAGAGUGGCUGAGAUCGUCUUUGAUGUGUUAAAGUGUCAGUCCGCCUGAAAUGUGUACCUUGAAUCAUCUGUAAAUAACAUUGUUUUUCAUUUCGACAUUAAAUAUAUUGAUGCACCGAGUUAUUCAGAAAUAUACAGAAAGAUUAUUGUGUUUUUAAAAGUGUUUCACAGAAUUCGUUCGAGAGAUACAACGGAACUUUUGAUAUCCUAGAAUUUAUCACCUACUCCCAACGGCGGAGUAAGGUAUAAUCCGCGCAAAUUGAUUCAUUCCUUGUCCGAGUCAUCGACUCGACACUCACAUGUUCUGAGAUCUGAGGUUUCAUUUUGCGCGAAUUAUAUAAUAAGUGCACACGAGACACAGAUAGGUGAACGGCGAUAUGUGAAAAUUGCCAAGAACAAGUUGACAUAAUAGAGGCUUUGUCUAUAGCUUGCCAGUCGUUCUGGGCAAUUUUAAAUAUUCCGUCGAAGACUUUAGAUGAUGCUUUGAUCAAGGAGACUACCGACUGCACUUUAGCGCAGUCCGGUAUAAUACGUCGAAAAACACGUACGUCCGUAUCAAUUAUGUCCUUAUCGACACCUGUUACUGCGAGCAACAUAUUCGGAUUGUACGUGACUCUCGAUUUGAUAAUCUGGUGAACGUAACUCCGAGCAAUAUUGUGCAAGCAAAAUCUGUGCAAAACUAGAAUGACUUUUGCUGUACAAAAUACGAGUAAUCUUAAUAUCCCGCGGCUUUGAUAUGUGCAAGUUUGAGAUUAAGACUAGAAACUCCGGAGAUAGAUCAUUCGUUCACCGGCGAUUUCAAUAAGAAUCAUUGCAAUUUGGCACACCUUCAUCAUUUUCAGGUAUUAAAAAGAUAAUGCUAGUAUGUCGCCCUUAUAAUAUAUUACACAUUUAUUAAUUAUAUAUUAAUGUGCAUACACAAUAAGUUUCAGUCUUGAAAUAAUAAAAUAACUGCAAGAAGGAGC